rnacentral:misc_RNA from 1 species
UACGUAGGUGGCAAGCGUUGUCCGGAAUUAUUGGGCGUAAAGCGCGCGCAGGCGGCCUCUUAAGUCUGAUGUGAAAGCCCCGGGCUCAACCUGGGAACUGCAUUUAGAACUGGCAAGCUAGAGCAUGGCAGAGGAGUGUGGAAUUUCCGGUGUAGCGGUGAUAUGCGUAGAGUGCGGAAGGAACACCAGUGGCGAAGGCGACACUCUGGGCCAAUACUGACGCUGAGGUGCGAAAGCGGGGGGAGAAACCAGG